CUCACUUUGCACAUCUCCAGUAUGGAUCCGAAGCCUCUAGAAGGAUAAUAUAGGCACACCAUACCCUACUCCGGCUUAAUACGUCCCCGUCGUACAGAAUGGUAACAUAUCUCUCUAAAUAUCUGAGCUUGGGUAUACGGGGAAACCCAACCCCUUGAGAAGAUGGGGUAUAUGGCUAAAUUGAGCGGA
rnacentral:ribozyme from 1 species